ACGGAGGGUGCUAGCGUUGUUCGGAUUUACUGGGCGUAAAGGGCGCGUAGGCGGCUGAUCAAGUUGGGUGUGAAAGCCCGGGGCUCAACCCCGGAACUGCACUCGAAACUGGUCGGCUGGAGGACGAGAGAGGAAAGUGGAAUACCCAGUGUAGAGGUGAAAUUCGUAGAUAUUGGGUGGAACACCGGUGGCGAAAGCGGCUUUCUGGCUCGUUUCUGACGCUGAGGCGCGAAAGCGUGGGGAGCAAACAGG
rnacentral:rRNA from 1 species